rnacentral:misc_RNA from 1 species
GAUGAAGAACGUAACGAAAUGCGAUAAGUAAUGUGAAUUGCAGAAUUCAGUGAAUCAUCGAAUCUUUGAACGCACAUUGCGCCCGUCAGUAUUCUGGCGGGCAUGCCUGUUCGAGCGUCAUUACGCCCCUCAAGUCCCCUGUGGACUUGGUGUUGGGGAUCGGCGAGGCUGGUUUUCCAGCACAGCCGUCCCUUAAAUUAAUUGGCGGUCUCGCCGUGGCCCUCCUCUGCGCAGUAGUAAAACACUCGCAACAGGAGCCCGGCGCGGUCCACUGCCGUAAAACCCCCCAACUUUUUAUAGUUGACCUCGAAUCAGGUAGGACUACCCGCUGAACUUAAGCAUAUCAAUAAGCGGAGGA